AAUGCAUGACGCCGUUGACUUUUUAACAAACGUUUGACCUUUCGUUUUAUUUAAAAAUUUUAUAUAAUUAUAAUUUAUUUUAUUAUGAUUUGAUUUAUCAUCAAAUGUUCUUUAAGCAUGACAUAAGUAUUUUUAUAUUUGUAUAAAAAAUUUGAAUAAGACGAAUGGUCAAACGUUGAUUAAAAAGUUAACGGCGUCAUACAUU
rnacentral:pre_miRNA from 1 species